CUUACCAAGGCUUGACAUAUACAGGAAUAUGGCAGAGAUGUCAUAGCCGCAAGGUCUGUAUACAGGUGGUGCAUGGUUGUCGUCAGCUCGUGUCGUGAGAUGUUGGGUUAAGUCCCGCAACGAGCGCAACCCUCGUUCUGUGUUGCCAGCAUUUAGUUGGGGACUCACAGGAGACUGCCGGGGUUAACUCGGAGGAAGGUGGGGAUGACGUCAAAUCAUCAUGCCCCUUAUGUCUUGGGCUGCACGCAUGCUACAAUGGCUGGUACAAACGGCUGCAAUACCGCAAGGUGGAGCGAAUCCGAGAAAGCCAGUCUCAGUUCGGAUUGGGGUCUGCAACUCGACCCCAUGAAGUCGGAGUUGCUAGUAAUCGUAGAUCAGCAACGCUACGGUGAAUACGUUCCCGGGGCUUGUACACACCGCCCGUCACGUCACGAAGUCGGUAACACCCGAAAGUCAGUGGCCCAACCGCAAGGAG
rnacentral:rRNA from 1 species